CCUCCCAUGCCUAAGGAAAUUCCUGCAGAAAACUGUAGACCAAGCAACACCAACCUUUACUCAUCUGACAAUCGAUGAUCAAGAUCUCACCUCACCCUGUAUUCCGUUACAAACUCUCCCUUAUACUGAUGAAGUGCAGAAAGUCUAGGAAGGGACAGUACAGGGACAGCGUUCGUCUUUAUGGGUAGACUGCCGUACGGAGAAGUAGUGGAUAAGCCACUAUGGGUUACCAGCGGAGUGAAGAGUGUUCCUGAACCGUACUGACGGAUGUGCUGCAGCCUGUUAGGGUCAAG